AGUGCAAUUGCUGGAUCAUAUGGUAAGAGUAUUUUUAGUUUUGUAGAAAACUGACAAACUGUCUUCCAAAGUGGCUGUACCAUUUUGCAUUCCCACAAGGAAU
rnacentral:pre_miRNA from 1 species